UGCGGAGGGAGCAAGCGUUAUCCGGAAUCACUGGGUUUAAAGGGUGCGUAGGCGGCUUGAUAAGUCAUGGGUGAAAGCCCGCAGCUUAACUGCGGAACUGCCUUUGAUACUGUCGAGCUUGAAAGAGGUUGAGGUCAGCGGAACGUGACAGGUAGCGGUGAAAUGCAUAGAUAUGUCACAGAACACCGAUUGCGAAGUCAGCUGGCUGGACCUACUUUGACGCUGAGGCACGAAAGCGUGGGGAGCGAACAGG
rnacentral:rRNA from 1 species